CUGGAAGAGACACUAACAGAACCAAUGAAAAUGCAAACACAAAGUUUGAUAAUUGAUUGAGUCUGAAUGAAAGCCACUCCAUUGCUGAUACAUUGUGAAACCACGGUCUUGAAAAUCCAUCUACUAAUACAAGGAUUGGAGCCUUCUGUAUUUCAGAUAAUCGUGCUAGCUCCCUUGCAGUUGAUUGCUGUUACUGGAAUGAAGAUGAGAAAGACCUCCCAUGCGACCUGUGACAUGACUGCAAUGGUGCCGAGAAGCUGGAUCAUUGAGAAAGCUGCCCAGCCCAAUCUUUGUGCCAUUUCCAAGUCCAAUACACUUUGGUCAGAUGAUGCCUGUAUAUGAAGUUUUCAUCGAAGCAAUGCGAGAGAAAGGCAGCAGAGUCUUUCACAUCAACAUCUGGGAUCUCUUCCUGCUCAAGUGGCUUCUUUUUCCCAAUGACAAACAAUGGAUUGAGCCAUGAGAAAGUAACGAGAUCAAGAAGAGUUGCUUUGCUGCUGACUGAUGCAAAAAAACCGAGAAAAUCUGCAUACUCUUGGAUCCUAAGCUGCCCAUGAUUGUCCAUUAUAAAGUUAAAAGCAAUGGCAAUAUGACAAGCUGUGAUCAAGAAGCUGCAAACCCACCAGAAUCUUAGAAUUCCGGGGAAAAUGAGCUGAGAGAGCAGGAACAUAGUGAUCGCACGAAAUCUUGUUUCCUUUUACCAGCAAGCAUAAAGAAGUCAAAUGCACACUCAAAAGCAAAGUGGAAGAAACAAUGCUGACUUUCGAGCAAAGGCUUAAUCUUGCACUAUCAGGGCUAUUAAACAUGUUACUUCUUGCUGUUUUACAUGAAUAAUGUUACCUCAUCACAUACCGUGAAGUCAAGAAUAUGAAGAGCAGUACUCCCCACUUCAAACAAUGUAGCAAGAGAUGAAGUUUAAGGAAAUCUUUAAAAUGUUUUAAUCUAAUUGUAAACGGUACAAAUUAUGAUAUACACGUAUCCGUCCAUACAUAUCAUAAUGCAGUUUUCAGGCCUUA